CAGGCCUAACACAUGCAAGUCGAACGAGAAAUCGGGCACUCAGGCAACUGAGUGCCGGAGAGUAAAGUGGCGCACGNGGUGAGUAACACGUGGGUAACCUACCCCCGAAUCUGGGAUAACCUCGCGAAAGCGUUGCUAAUACCGGAUAUUGUCCUAUUGGUUUUGGCCUUUGGGAUGAAAGGCAACCUCUUCAUGAAAGUUGUCGUUCAAGGAUGGGCCCGCGUACCAUUAGCUUGUUGGUGGGGUAACGGCUUACCAAGGCUACGAUGGUUAGCUGGUCUGAGAGGAUGAUCAGCCACACUGGAACUGAAACACGGUCCAGACUCCUACGGGAGGCAGCAGUGAGGAAUUUUGCGCAAUGGGGGAAACCCUGACGCAGCAACGCCGCGUGAGUGAAGAAGGCUUUCGGGUCGUAAAGCUCUGUCAAGUGGGAAAAAAAUCUGAUGAUUAAUAGUUGUCAGAUCUGAUGGUACCACUGGAGGAAGCACCGGCUAACUCCGUGCCAGCAGCCGCGGUAAU
rnacentral:rRNA from 1 species